rnacentral:misc_RNA from 1 species
UUAAGUUCAGCGGGUAGUCCUACCUGAUUUGAGGUCAAAAGUCAAUAAAGAAGACCUUAGAUAAUAAGAGUCGACAUAUUAGAGGCGCGAAACCUUCAUUCAUGCGCUUCAGCGAACGGCGAUCAUUAUCACGCCGAAAGCCUUGUCGCGCAUAGUCGAAAGUCGACCGCAAGCCGAUGCAUUUCAGGAGAGCCCGAGUC